UACGGAAGGCAGCAGUGGGGAAUAUUGCACAAUGGGCGAAAGCCUGAUGCAGCUAUGCCGCGUGUAUGAAGAAGGCCUUAGGGUUGUAAAGUACUUUCAGCAGGGAGGAAAGAAAUAAAACUAAUAAUUUUAUUUUGUGACGUUACCUGAAGAAGAAGCACCGGCUAACUCCGUGCCAGCAGCCGCGGUAAUACGGAGGGUGCAAGCGUUAAUCAGAAUUACUGGGCGUAAAGAGCGCGUAGGUGGUUUUUUUAAAGUCAGAUGUGAAAUCCCUAGGCUUAACCUAGGAACUGCAUUUUGAAACUGAAAACUAGAGUAUCGUAGAGGGAGGUAGAAUUCUAGGUGUAGCGGUGAAAUGCGUAGAUAUCUGGAGGAAUACCUGUGGCGAAAGCGGCCUCCUAAACGAAUACUGACACUGAGGUGCGAAAGCGUGGGGAGCAAACAGGGAUUAGAUACC
rnacentral:rRNA from 1 species